CAUAGCGUGAAUCUUGGCCCUCCAAAACAAAUCCAACGGCUGAGAUUCAUCCACGCCAUCACGAGUUAAAAUUUAACUCCCAGUACUUCUGAAAUUUUACUCCCAGUAAAAUUUUUACUCCUGAGUAAAUCUGCGAGUUAAAUUUUAACUCGUGAUGACGUGGACGAAUCUCAGCCGUUAGAUUUGUUUUGGAGGACCGAGAUUCACGCUAUG
rnacentral:pre_miRNA from 1 species